GCAUUGAUUCUGAACUGCAUCAAAGACUGGAGAUGCAAAUAUUACUUCUCCAUUAGUAAAUGUACUUUCAUUCUAUCAGAUGGCUUCAGAAGCUGGGUCACGGACAGGGCACAGGGCCCUGGAAUCUCUGCCCUGCUCCUUUGAGGAUCUUCAUUUACAUACAAGUGUUGUAGGUGGCAGGGCAGGCUGGCCUCCCACUCUGGGAUGGGCUUCUUUGACUCCUCCCCCUCUGACAGUGACUUGUGGGUAUGUGGGAGCCUCUGUAGAAUCUGGUUCUAGCAUCAGAUCAACCAGCCAGACCCUGCUCCAUUCUGCCCCUCUAGGACCAAGCCCACCUCUUUCCUCUGAAUGGUGUGGCUCCAUCUGGAGACAGCUGGCCAGUGUGUUCAACAGUUUCCUGCACCCCCUUGCUUAACCCUCAGAGCUGCCUGGUUCCCCCACCCUCUGGCCCACUGCCAACAGCAAACAUCACAUUCGUACUUCAAGUCUAAUGGCUACUGCCUCCUCAAUCUAUGAACAGAUCUGGCCAACACAAGAACCUGUGUCUUCACAAUACACUGGGGAUGUCUUUGCACAGCCAAAUCAUCCUAUGAAACUCCAGCGUCUGUGGAAGUGAGAAAGCAGCACCAUGCUUGUGGUGUCGGCUGGAGGCGUGUCACCCUCCGGCAACUGCAUCUGAAGCAGAGCCCUUGUGGUUUCCAGGCCUGGACAGGGAGCUCUUCCCCUGGGGUCUAAAGGACAGAGAUGUCUCUCCCUUUGAUUCCUUUGGUCCCUCUGGUCCUCCCUGGGUAUUCACACAUACCCCAAUCCUGUCUAGACAACGAGUGGUUCUGGGUUUCUGCAGAUGGAAGAGAGCAAGGUGUCCCUGAGUUCUGUGGACUUGACCCCCGCAUCCCACCCUGACCCUGCCUCCAGUCCCGCUGGCCGAGGGCAGAGCCUCCUCCCACUGUGCUUCCUUCACGUUUACUUUAAGAAGCAGGGCCUCCCUCCACACCGUCUCUUAAUACUUUCUGUAGUUGAUUUGUCUGAACCGUGGCUGUCUUGCAUUCCUUGAAUAAUCAUGUGUAAGAAUUGUCAAUGCUUGAAACUAUUUCCUGUACUCAAGUUGAAGGGACUUUGUUGGCCUUGGGGUUUUAGCAGUGACUCCAAGAGCAGAGUGGGGAAGCACCCAGGCAUAGCCUUGGCGCUGUGAUGGAUGCAGUCCCUCCCUCUGUCCCUUUACAAGUGACAGUAUACAUUCCUAAAAAUAAAAACACUGAAGCAUC
rnacentral:lncRNA from 1 species